GGCGCCGCGUGUCUAGUGGUAUGAUUCUCGCUUCGGGUGCGAGAGGUCCCGGGUUCGAUUCCCGGUGCGGCCC
rnacentral:tRNA from 1 species